GACGACCAAAGGGGCUCAUCUGGACAACCUGAUCAUAGUGCAGGUAGAUGUGGUGAAACAUAUAAACAAAUAGCAGUACUCUUGCGAUCAACCAAGCCAGAAAGAUCACUACUCCAUUGAUAAGAUACGCAGCGGAUCUUUUCAUGCCAGCUGUAUCUAGAUACCAUCUCAUGUUAAUCUCAGGAGUUGUUACUUCGGAGAUGAGACACAUGAAUGUAUAAAGCUGCCCUUCUCCAGAAAACAUAGAAUAUGCUACGGCAAUUGCUGAAAGAGAAUGAUGGAUAACAUACUCCAAACCUCCUAAAGAAGGGAAGAACCAGAAAAUCAUCCCAAGAUCAGCAAAGAAGUACCCAACAGAAACCCCCAGUCCAAAAAUACAGAGUGGUGAACUUCGUAAAGUAACAAAAUCAGUAGGCCGUUGAUCAGAAAAGAGGUCUGACCAAAAUACUAAGUACAAUGACAAAGCUGAGAUAAAAAUUGCAUGAAUAGAAGACAAGCCCCUAUUGUUCCACUCAAUUCGUUGAAUUUUUGUAAGACCAGCAUAAGUCUUGAAAUAGAAAUUGCUUAUUAAUCGUGUAAACUCAUAUGCCACUUUGGCAGCAACUAGGCCACCAAGGAUAGAAGUGUAAGGAAUGAAAGGAGCUGCUAAUAAGUAAUUCUUAACCAGAACCUCAGCCUGACUUUGGUAAGAUUUAAUAGCCAUAUCAUCUUUAGACACAGUCACCAUGAUAUAAUCCUUCAAUCAUGCGGUUGAUCAGCAGAUCCCUUUUAUACUUUCUCCAAAUUUCUUCCCAUCUUCAUUUUCUAAUUUCUCACCUACACAGGCAUCAAGGUCAGC
rnacentral:misc_RNA from 1 species